rnacentral:rRNA from 1 species
CCUACGGGUGGCAGCAGUAGGGAAUUUUUCACAAUGGGCGAAAGCCUGAUGGAGCAACGCCGCGUGCAGGAUGAAGGCCUUCGGGUUGUAAACUGCUUUUAUAAGCGAGAAAUAUGAUGGUAACUUAUGAAUAAGGAUCGGCUAACUACGUGCCAGCAGCCGCGGUCAUACGUAGGAUCCGAGCAUUAUCCGGAGUGACUGGGUGUAAAGAGUUGCGUAGGUGGCAUAAUAAGUAGCUAGUGAAAUCUGGUGGCUCAACCAUUCAGACUAUUAGCUAAACUGUUAAGCUCGAGACCGUUAGGGGUAACUGGAAUUUCUAGUGUAGGAGUGAAAUCCGUAGAUAUUAGAAGGAACACCAAUAGCGUAGGCAGGUUGCUGGGACGGUUCUGACACUAAGGCACGAAAGCGUAGGGAGCAAACGGGAUUAGAUACCCCAGUUGUC